CCUUUUACAUUUGUUCUCUCAACUCCGCUUACAGUUAUAUAUUAGAGGCCGUUUGGUUAGAUAUAAUUACAAAUAUAAUGAAAUUAGAGAUACAUGCAGUUAGAAAUGCAGCAAUUGUAACUACAUGUAUCAUAUUUAGUUGGAUGUAGUAAAAGGCGCUGCAACUAGAAAUAAUUUGUUUGGUUGUAUAUAUGUAGUUGAGAAAUAAUUUUUAAAAUUUUAUCAUUUUAUAUAUAUGGUGGUGAGAUUACCUCCAUUGUAACAAAAAAAAUGUAUUUUUUUAUUUAAAAAUUAAUUGAGGUAAGCUUAUCUUUUGUUUAAAGUUACUAUCUCCAAUUGCUGCAUUUGCACCUCCUCUUGCAGUUUCUACCGCAGUAGUUGGGAUUAAAUAUAUUAAAUCAAACACCGAAUUUGUAUUUGCAUACAGUUACAAUUGCAGUGCAGUUACAAUUAUAAGCAACCAGACGGUCUCUUAAUAUUC
rnacentral:lncRNA from 1 species